GCCUACGGCCAUACCACCAUGAACACGCCUGAUCUUGGAAGCUAAGCAGGGUCAGGCCGGAUUAGUACCUGGAUGGGAGACCGCCUGGGAAUACCGGGUGCUGUAGGCU
ensembl:rRNA 5S_rRNA 5S ribosomal RNA